rnacentral:rRNA from 1 species
AUUGAACGCUGGCGGCAGGCCUGACACAUGCAAGUCGAGCGGAUGAAGGGAGCUUGCUCCUGGAUUCAGCGGCGGACGGGUGAGUAAUGCCUAGGAAUCUGCCUGGUAGUGGGGGAUAACGUCCGGAAACGGGCGCUAAUACCGCAUACGUCCUGAGGGAGAAAGUGGGGGAUCUUCGGACCUCAGGCUAUCAGAUGAGCCUAGGUCGGAUUAGCUAGUUGGUGGGGUAAAGGCCUACCAAGGCGACGAUCCGUAACUGGUCUGAGAGGAUGAUCAGUCACACUGGAACUGAGACACGGUCCAGACUCCUACGGGAGGCAGCAGUGGGGAAUAUUGGACAAUGGGCGAAAGCCUGAUCCAGCCAUGCCGCGUGUGUGAAGAAGGUCUUCGGAUUGUAAAGCACUUUAAGUUGGGAGGAAGGGCAGUAAGUUAAUACCUUGCUGUUUUGACGUUACCAACAGAAUAAGCACCGGCUAACUUCGUG